rnacentral:rRNA from 1 species
CUACGGGGCGCUCCAGUGAGGAAUAUUGCACAAUGGGGGGAACCCUGAUGCAGCAACGCCGCGUGGAGGAUGACGCAUUUCGGUGUGUAAACUCCUUUUAUAUGUCAAGAAAAUGACGGUAGCAUAUGAAUAAGCACCGGCUAACUCCGUGCCAGCAGCCGCGGUAAUACGGAGGGUGCAAGCGUUACUCGGAAUCACUGGGCGUAAUGGACGCGUAGGCGGGUUGGAAAGUCAGGUGUGAAAUCCUACAGCUUAACUGUAGAACUGCACUUGAAACUUCUAAUCUAGAGUAUGGGAGGGGGAGAUGGAAUUCGUGGUGUAGGGGUAAAAUCCGUAGAUAUCACUAGGAAUACCUAAAGCGAAGGCGAUCUCCUGGAACAUUACUGACGCUAAGGCGUGAAAGCGUGGGGAGCAAACAGGAUUAGAUACCCCCGUAGUC